rnacentral:rRNA from 1 species
AUUGAACGCUGGCGGCAGGCCUAACACAUGCAAGUCGAACGGUAACAGGAAGCAGCUUGCUGCUUUGCUGACGAGUGGCGGACGGGUGAGUAAUGUCUGGGAAACUGCCCGAUGGAGGGGGAUAACUACUGGAAACGGUAGCUAAUACCGCAUAACGUCGCAAGACCAAAGAGGGGGACCUUAGGGCCUCUUGCCAUCGGAUGUGCCCAGAUGGGAUUAGCUAGUAGGUGGGGUAACGGCUCACCUAGGCGACGAUCCCUAGCUGGUCUGAGAGGAUGACCAGCCACAACGGAACUGAGGAACCGUCCAGACUCCUACGGGAGGGAGCAGUGGGGAAUAUUGCACAAUGGGCGCAAGCCUGAUGCAGCCAUGCCGCGUGUAUGAAGAAGGCCUUCGGGUUGUAAAGUACUUUCAGCGGGGAGGAAGGGAGUAAAGUUAAUACCUUUGCUCAUUGACGUUACCCGCAGAAGAAGCACCGGCUAACUCCGUG